rnacentral:lncRNA from 1 species
UUAUGUUAUAUAAAUACUAAUUCAAAUCAAGUGUUAUUCAAUCAUACGGAUUUAUUAAUAGAUUUGAUUUCAUAAUGGAUAUGAAUGGAUUUGUAUAAAAUUUUUUGUUAAAACUAAAAAGACUCAAAUCCGAUGAAAAAUCUACGGAUUUGUAAAUACUAAUCCGAAUUUUUUUGAAAACCUGUAUAUUUUAAAUUUUGAAAAUCUGUAUAUUUUACCAGGAUUUAUUAAAUAAUAUUAUAUUUAAUGUGAAAAUGAUAUUUUUACUAACCUGUAUAUUGU